rnacentral:lncRNA from 1 species
CUUUGCUGUGUUGAAUUGCAUAAUUAAAUUGUUUGUAAUUUCUCCAUACAGAGUGAAUCAAAAGUCAGGAAAAAUUCAGGCAUUAACCAAAUAUCAGAGAGAUGCAAAAGGUGCUAAAUGUUAAUGCAUUCAAAAUGGCGGUUUUCAAGAUGGUGGAGGAGUAGAGUAAAUGGGUAAUACUAAUGAUAAUAGGUAUUAAUAUUUAGGCCAUUGUUCUAACUGGUCAUUUAUUCUUUCUGAUACCCCCUAUACUGGGUAAAAGAAGGAAACAGUUUUAUAAGUACUGUG